UUCCUAUACCACCCAUUCCCUA
rnacentral:miRNA from 1 species